UUGAAAUUGGAUGUUUACUUGGCUGAAGCUUUGGCUGCCAUGACUCUCUCAUGUUUACUUUUUCUUUUUUCCCUCCUCCCCUGUUCUGGCGAAGGAAUAGACCCUCACAACUGAGGAUUGCUAUCUUUCCUCUCCUCUUCUUUUCCCUCCAAAUUCUGGGCGUUUGAUCUUCACUCUGAGGUGGUUUAAACCUUAGAAAUUCAUACCUGAAUGUGACCUCUGCUGUGAGUUACAAGACAGAUUUCAGGUCUGAUCUCUAAUCUACCGCCAGGCUCGAAUUCAGGUUCUUCCUGUGUCCUUCCAGCCUGCAGUUCCAAGCAUCUAUUUUAUGGGUUUGAUAGAGCCUCUUCUUGAGGAUAUUCACCAGAAAUUCCAGGCCAAACAAAGGCCGAUUGAAGGAGUUCUCUUGAUCCAAAGCCUCCCUGGUUUUCCACCUCUUACGUUGGCUGAAGGUAGAAGAAGAAAGACUCGUGAGUGGUUUAAAACUCUUUAAUUUUGUUUUUCCCAUUAUACCCCUCAAACCCCUUGAUUUGUGUCCUUUAGUAUUUGUUCUUUUAUGUAAAAAUCCCUCUUUUGUUUUACCUCCAUAUUAAUACCCCUUCCAUUCCACCUUUAUUUACUACUUACCCAUGCCCAAUAAUUGCUUCCAAGACUACCCCUGGCCUAUAAUUCUAAUCCCCUUCAUAUCCUACCAGUCACUUUAACCUCCUUUCCUCCUUUUGAAAUUCCUUUUAUUUGCAAGUCUGCCACUCUUUUCUAAGUUUCUGGUAAUUACUUAAUUGCCAUUCCCUUAAACUUCAGUUUAUUUACAGAACUGCCAUUAUUCUUUAAAUUUUGAAUUUACUACUUUAUUGUGGGCCCUAAGCGAUCCGAUUCCUGUUCUUGGAACCCGGAUCCGCAUCACAAGUGUACGUAGCCUUAAUGCCUUACUUUGUAAGAGAGGUUGUUUUCAUGUUUUGAACCUGUAACCAUAGUUGUCACGGCGUUAAAUCGAUCCAAGUCGGUGGAGGGGUGGCUAAUCGAUUUGGCGAUGAAUCACCCAUUAUGACAUUGCUAUGGUGGUCAAAUCGCCCAUGUGUCAUUUUUUAUUUUUCCUAUUUUCUAAAGUUAUUUAGCAUGCUACAAGCCUACAAUAUAUACCCUAUAACAUAUAAAACCAACAUUAAGCAACAUCAAAUCAUCAAAAAUCAACAUAGCCCUAUCAAAAUCAGCCUGCAUUUUACAAAAAAUCGACCGCCUAGUGAAUCAGGCAUGACUUGGUGUCCAUGGCGGCGCCUAUCAGCCAAUGGCAACUGCCAUUUGUGAGUCUCAAAAAUCGUAGCACUGUCAUGAACUUCUUUUUCCGUCAGGACGCCAAAUCGCCGCCUAGGCGACGCCAUGACAACUAUGCCUGUAACCAACAUGUUGCAAUAGUGCAACUUAACCGUUGCGCCAUAGGCUCGCUCACUAGUCCUACCCUUCUGAUUAUUAAAAUUAUUUUUUCACCAUAUGAUCAUAAAAGGGCCUCCUACCGAGAUAAUUUCUAUCUACUUAUUUCUUUGUUGACUUUAGUUUCUCUUUGCAUUGGUUCUUUCUAUCUAAAAUUUUCAUUUUCAAGUUUUAUAAUUAUUUGUUUUGUAACUUCCCAUGUAUUCUACCUGGUUUAUUGCAUCAAUUUGUCAUCAUUUGCACCAGGAAGCAUUUUCCCUGGAAAUUUGUUAACAAGCCCUUUUCUAUUCACCAAAUCCAUAAAUGUAGUAGUUGGCAAAUAAUUUGUCGUCAAAGUUGAUGUUUUUAUAUACCAAUCAACAAGGGGAAAAAUGCUUACAUCAGUUUUUGCUGUGCAGCACAAAGGGAGAAAGUUUUGGAUAAACAGCUUCACAGUUCGAUUGAACAACUAGCUGCUAAGCAAGCACAGGCAGAAGGCUUGGUCACUGAAAUCCAUCUCAAGAAACAAGAGUUAGAGAAACUAAAUGGAUCGUGGAGGCGGCUUGAGAGUGGGAACACAGAGCUGAAUACUGCAAGAAACCGGUUUGUCGGAGGCAGCUUGGGGAGGGGUUCUUCGGAAUACAUUGUUGACUAUCCUUCUAGACCUUCACAAAUAGGAGGUCGAACAGAAAGCCAGCAGAGGCUCAUGUUACUCAGGUCUGCAUUUGUACUCUACGUUUUGGUCCUUCAUGUGUUAGUUUUCAUCAAGAUUUCAUUCUAAGCUCAUUUUAGAGACAAACACUUACCUUCUCCUCUUGUUUAUAUGAAAAGUCUUAUGUAUAAUAUACAAUCAAACUUUGCUGGUUUCAUGCCAUUCUUCAAA